rnacentral:tRNA from 1 species
GUCCCCGUAGCACAGUGGUUAGUGCGCCUGACUACGAAUCAGGAGGCCGCAUGUUCAAUCCAUGCCUGGGAUU